ensembl:ncRNA lncRNA:CR44471 long non-coding RNA:CR44471
CGCACCCAACCAUUGGAGCUGUCGGCCAAAGUUGAAGAAACGCCGGGUAGUUUGCCUGCGUGGCCAAAGUGCCGUUUAAUAAUGGAACAAACGCAGUGCCACGGUGAGUUUGUGCCUUUAGCGCUGAACUCCUGACCUCUGACCAGCCGGCGGACCAGGAAGUGAGCGCACCUUUCCAUUGCCAAAACGACAACAACAAAAAAGGUGGCAACAGUUCCAUUUCCAGCAAGCCGGACUAAGCAAACAGUGGCGAAGAUGUUGUCUGGACAGCGGCAGCUGGGAAUGGAUGGACAGAAAAGUGCAGCUUGCAAGGUCAACAUGGCGUAUGCGCGAUGUUUGAGGACUUUCAAACACCCGCUGUACACCUUGGUAAUUAAUUUUCAGUAUACCGAGAACUGCAGACGUGGUACAAUUAACUAUUUAGACUAAGCUAUUCACUAAGUUCAACAUAAUGGCGAAGCAUGAGUUUAGUCAAAAACAGUCGAUUCAUGUUGAAGAUGUCGUUGAUUGAAAGCUCCACUAAUUGGCAAAAAAUAUAUGAAACGAACAAUUUAAUAAUGAUCGAAUUUCCCGUGAAAUAUCCGGCCAUCGAUACAUGAAUCUUAGAAGCUUGGUAAUUGGAAAUUGUCCGGAAAACGAAGAGCAGAUAUGGCAACCAAAUGAAAUUGUUUUAAUUUGUAAGCAGGCUUGCAGUUAAUAAAUUAU